GAACGCCGGCGGCCGGGCUCACACACGCAAGUUCGAAACGUCGCCGGAGAAAGCCUCGCCUUCCUGCCUGACAGCGGCCGACGGGUGAGUCAUGCCUGGGAAUCCGGCCUCUGGAGGGGGAUAACUACCGGAAAACCGUAGCUAAUACCGCCGUCAUGUCCAGAGAACGAAAAGUGCCGGGACCGUAAGGCCCCAUGCCAUGAGAAGAGCCCAAGUGGGAUUAGGUAGUUUGGUGGGGUAAAGGCCUACCAAGCCUGCGAUCUCUAGCUGGUCUGAGAGGAUGGCCAGCCACACUGGAACUGAGACACGGUCCAGACUCCUACGGGAGGCAGCAGUGGGGAAUAUUGCGCAAUGGGGGGAACCCUGACGCAGCCAUGCCGCGUGAAUGAAGAAGGCCUUCGGGUUGUAAAGUUCUUUCGGUAUUGAGGAAGGGAUGUGUGCUAAUAGUACAUAUCAUUGACGUUAAAUACAGAAGAAGCACCGGCUAACUCCGUGCCAGCAGCCGCGGUAAUACGGAGGGUGCGAGCGUUAAUCGGAAUAACUGGGCGUAAAGGGCACGCAGGCGGUUAUUUAAGUGAGGUGUGAAAGCCCCGGGCUUAACCUGGGAAUUGCAUUUCAGACUGGGUAACUAGAGUACUUUAGGGAGGGGUAGAAUUCCACGUGUAGCGGUGAAAUGCGUAGAGAUGUGGAGGAAUACCGAAGGCGAAGGCAGCCCCUUGGGAAUGUACUGACGCUCAUGUGCGAAAGCGUGGGGAGCAAACAGGAUUAGAUACCCUGGUAGUCCACGCUGUAAACGCUGUCGAUUUGGGGAUUGAGCUUUAAGCUUGGUGCCCGUAGCUAACGUGAUAAAUCGACCGCCUGGGGAGUACGGCCGCAAGGUUAAAACUCAAAUGAAUUGACGGGGGCCCGCACAAGCGGUGGAGCAUGUGGUUUAAUUCGAUGCAACGCGAAGAACCUUACCUACUCUUGACAUCCAUGGAAUCCUGUAGAGAUACGGGAGUGCCUUCGGGAACCAUGAGACAGGUGCUGCAUGGCUGUCGUCAGCUCGUGUUGUGAAAUGUUGGGUUAAGUCCCGCAACGAGCGCAACCCUUAUCCUUUGUUGCCAGCGAUUUGGUCGGGAACUCAAAGGAGACUGCCAGUGAUAAACUGGAGGAAGGUGGGGAUGACGUCAAGUCAUCAUGGCCCUUACGAGUAGGGCUACACACGUGCUACAAAUGGCGUAUACAGAGGGUGGCGAAAUUGCGAGAUGGAGCGAAUCUCAAAAAGUACGUCUAAGUCCGGAUUGGAGUCUGCAAACUCGAACUCCGUGAAAGUCGGAAUCGCUAGGAAUCGCGAAACAGAAAUGUCGCGGUAAAGACGUUUCCCGGGCCU
rnacentral:rRNA from 1 species